rnacentral:rRNA from 1 species
CAGCCGCCGCGGUAAUACGUAGGGUGCAAGCGUUAAUCGGAAUUUCUGGGCGUAAAGCGUGCGCAGGCGGUUGUGUAAGACAGGUGUGAAAUCCCCGGGCUUAACCUGGGAAUUGCAUUUGUGACUGCACGACUAGAGUGUGUCAGAGGGGGGUGGAAUUCCACGUGUAGCAGUGAAAUGCGUAGAUAUGUGGAGGAACACCAAUGGCGAAGGCAGCCCCCUGGGAUAACACUGACGCUCAUGCACGAAAGCGUGGGGAGCAAACAGGAUUAGAUACCCCUGUAGUCCCUGUCUCUUAUAC